UACGUAGGGUGCAAGCGUUGUCCGGAAUUAUUGGGCGUAAAGAGCUCGUAGGCGGUCUGUCGCGUCGAAUGUGAAAACCCGGGGCUCAACCCCGGGCCUGCAUUCGAUACGGGCAGACUAGAGUUCGGUAGGGGAGUCUGGAAUUCCUGGUGUAGCGGUGAAAUGCGCAGAUAUCAGGAGGAACACCGGUGGCGAAGGCGGGUCUCUGGGCCGAUACUGACGCUGAGAAGCGAAAGCGUGGGGAGCGAACAGG
rnacentral:rRNA from 1 species